rnacentral:misc_RNA from 1 species
GGGACCCUUUCUCGCCUGAUGAACCAUAAUCUGUCCUCUUCCGCGCUUGAGUUGGAUCAUCUCUCUGCAACUAGUUCCUAUAGCCAGAGUCCAGAGAGCCACAGAGCGACGUCGCAUACAGGAAAUCUUCAAUCUCAGAGUUUGUACUGACUGAUGCUUUGAAGUACUGAAAUUAUUUCUGCUCGCGCACUGUGAAAUAAUAUGGAUCCUAAUGGUUUCAUUGAUGAGAAGGCU